AGAAACACAAUUUUGUUUUUACAUGGUCCUUCCGGCUGGUAGGAAGUAGAAUUAUUUCAACCAAUCAGGUGCAAGUUGCAAAAUGAGUGACCAGGCACAAGCCAAUAAAAUGUGGAGGGGGCGUAGACUUCCAAACUAUUUCUAAGAAUAUUAGUCACCCAAAAUCGUGACAAUUGGGUCUAUGGGGGAAAUUAUUAUAAAUACAACUAGACUGUCAAUUCCAAUUCAGAAGCUGUUGAAAUUUGAAGGAGAAACUACUUGUUUGAGUACUGUACCAAGUAUUACGAGCUGUUCGUCACAAAUUCACUAAACUAAAUUCAGCUCUCGGUAAAUAUGACAUAGGUGUUGUAGAGGACAACCUGAUAGUCCAGGUCUUGUGAUUCCAUGAAAUUGGACAAUUUGGAAUCAGUGUAAAUCUUUAAACACCAACUAGAAGUUGGUGGUAAGGAUGUAUGUUGCUGUACUGUAACUGGAAUUAGGCUGACAGGAUGGUACCAGUGGUCCAGGUCUAUCCAGCGACAAGGGUUGACGUCAGACAGACAGGUCGUCGACAGGACACUCCAGAAACAGGAGAUACACAAACUAAAGACAUAGCUAAGGAUCUACAUUAAUCAGUGAAUUAUAUUAUUCUUCUGUUCAAGUCCCAUAUGUUUGUAAUUUAUUUAUAUUUUCUCUUGUAACCAUUGUUAGGAAUAGUUUACAUUAAUAAAGGUUUAUUCAACUAAUUAUUUGUGUAAAUUAGUGUUCUGUUUGCAAGGUUACCAAAGUCUUAGUGGCAAUACCAUCAAUGCAAUAGCCAAAGAUCCCAGCCGCAAGGUGUUGCACGAUUCCCACCUGUAGUGACAAUAUUGUGACCGCAUUUCCAAAUUGUGAGGGGGGGGGGGCCUACGUCUCCCAAAGUACCCCAACGUAGGUCUUCGGCCACAUGGGUUGUCUCGUUUAAUUCCGCCCUUACUUUGAACCCAUUUACAUAGAUACGCAAAUCCGAAUUAAUUAGCAUUAGCCACGAACUAAUGUUCCUCUUUCUCCUCGCAAAAAAUGGGAAAUAGAUUCGAUCAAUCAUAUAUAAUAUAAAUGCUCUUCCAUUAAAUUGGUUAUUUCAGAUAUAUUACUAACUGCCCUUACCCUGACCGGUAAGGUGUCGUUUAGUUGCAGGUAAAUCCGGUAAUCUGAGUGACCACUUCAUCUUGAUCAUGUCGGGGUCAAGCAUAUAAUCAUCAGAUUUACAGGGCUACUUUGAUCUAUCAAUUACGGGUGAUCGACCUUCACUUCGCAAAGGCUUGGCGUCUGCUCGUGCAUGUUUCCAACACAUUCGGCAUAAUUGGCCAUUAAAAAAUGAAUCAGAGUAUAGAGAUAUGCCAGGGAAAACAGUUUUGUUAUGUUAACAAAGCUUAGUGGGCUAUCCUGCCAUUCAUUAUAUUCUUGAUUUUAUAUGUACUUUUAUUUUUUUUAUUUACUGUUUUUUACAUGUCAUUUGGAAAAAUAAAUACCGACCAUCAAUUUUCAAAAUUAACCGUAGCUUUUAAAAAAGGUAUAUUGUUUUCAGAUAUCUGAUCAAAUCGUAGCAUUAAGAUAAUAUCAGAUAUGCUAAUUUGAAGGGGGAAAUGUGAUUGUUUAUCGGUCAUAAUAAUUACGCACCUUUUUCUAGUCUAGAAACUUGUGUGUGUGUGUGUGUGUGUGUUGGAUAGGUGGUGGGUGGGUGUGGGUGUAUUUAAUUUUGAGCAGGUGUAGUGGGUUUUCUACCUUGUAU
rnacentral:lncRNA from 1 species